rfam:Cryomorphaceae bacterium BACL7 MAG-121220-bin8 contig04636_1_121220-bin8, whole genome shotgun sequence.
UUAACAGAGGAAAAUUUUGACUGAUUGCCACCUCAAUAAAAAAAGCUAAAACAGAUAUG